rnacentral:rRNA from 1 species
GCUCAGUAACACGUGGAUAACAUGCCCUAGAGUGGAGGAUAAUCUCGGGAAAUUGAGGAUAAUACUCUAUAGAUCAUGGAAUUUGGAACAAUUCAUGAUCGAAAGUUCCGGCGCUCUAGGAUUGGUCUGCGGCCUAUCAGGUAGCAGUGGGUGUAACGGACCCACUAGCCGAUAACGGGUAUGGGCCUUGAGAGAGGGAGCCCAGAGAUGGAAUCUGAGACACGAUUCCAGGCCCUACGGGGCGCAGCAGUCGCGAAAACUUCACAAUGGAGGCAACUCCGAUGAGGGAAUUCCAAGUGCUAGCACAUUAGUGUUAGCUUUUCUUGAGUAUAGAUAGCUUAAGGAAUAAGGGCUGGGUAAGACGGGUGCCAGCCGCCGCGGUAAUACCCGCAGCCCGAGUGGUGGUCGAUUUUAUUGAGUCUAAAACGUUCGUAGCCGGUUCAUUAAAUCCUUGGGUAAAUCGGGUGGCUUAACUAUCCGAAUUCCGAGGAGACUGGUGAACUUGGGACCGGGAGAGGCAAGAGGUACUUUUGGGGUAGGGGUAAAAUCCUGUAAUCCUGAAAGGACCACCGGUGGCGAAGGCGUCUUGCUAGAACGGAUCCGACGGUGAGGGACGAAGCCCUGGGUCGCAAACGGGAUUAGAUACCCCGGUAGUCCAGGGUGUAAACGCUGCAGACUUGGUGUUGGGGACCCUUCGGGGGUGUUCAGUGCCGGAGAGAAGUUGUUAAGUCUGCUACUUGGGG